AUACGUAGGGGGCGAGCGUUGUCCGGAAUGAUUGGGCGUAAAGGGCGCGUAGGCGGCCCGGUAAGUCUGGAGUGAAAGUCCUGUUUUUAAGAUGGGAAUUGCUUUGGAUACUGUCGGGCUUGAGUGCAGGAGAGGUAAGUGGAAUUCCCAGUGUAGCGGUGAAAUGCGUAGAGAUUGGGAGGAACACCAGUGGCGAAGGCGACUUACUGGACUGUAACUGACGCUGAGGCGCGAAAGUGUGGGGAGCAAACAGGAUUAGAUACCCUGGUAGUCCACACUGUAAACGAUGAAUGCUAGGUGUAGGGGGUAUCAACCCCUUCUGUGCCGCAGUCAACACAAUAAGCAUUCCGCCUGGGGAGUACGGCCGCAAGGUUGAAACUCAAAUGAAUUGACGGGG
rnacentral:rRNA from 1 species